rnacentral:lncRNA from 1 species
GGCCAGGGUAGUCCUUGUGAGGAGUCACUGGACUGUUUGAGUUGAGCAUGAUUCAGAUGAUCUGAUCAGGGUUGAUAGUUUAAUCCUGAGUCAUCCUAAACACAGGGGUCAAAAGGAUGAAUUAUACAGUAACCAUAUUCAUGUAGGUUAUGAGUGUUGCGAUUGUGACUCUUCGAUCUAUCCAAAUAUCGGGUACCAUUGCUAG